rnacentral:rRNA from 1 species
AGUCGAACGGACUUAACCGAAAUAUUUAUAUUUUGGAGCGGUUAGUGGCGGACUGGUGAGUAACGCGUAAGCAAUCUGCCUAUUAGAGGGGAAUAACAGUGAGAAAUCACUGCUAAUACCGCAUAUGCCAUGAACAUCGCAUGAUGAAAAUGGGAAAGGAGUAAUCCGCUAAUAGAUGAGCUUGCGUCUGAUUAACUAGUUGGUGUGGUAAUGGCAUACCAAGGUAACGAUCAGUAGCCGGACUGAGAGGUUGAACGGCCACAUUGGGACUGAGAUACGGCCCAGACUCCUACGGGAGGCAGCAGUCGGGAAUAUUGCGCAAUGGAGGAAACUCUGACGCAGUGACGCCGCGUAUAGGAUGAAGGUUUUCGGAUUGUAAACUAUUGUCAUUAGGGAAGAUAAAAGACAGUACCUAAGGAGGAAGCUCCGGCUAACUACGUGCCAGCAGCCGCGGUAAUACGUAGGGAGCAAGCGUUAUCCGGAUUUAUUGGGUGUAAAGGGUGCGUAGACGGGAGAUUAAGUUAGUUGUGAAAGCCCUUGGCUUAACUGAGGAAUUGCAACUAAAACUGGUUUUCUUGAGUGCAGGAGAGGUAAGUGGAAUUCCUAGUGUAGCGGUGAAAUGCGUAGAUAUUAGGAGGAACACCAGUGGCGAAGGCGACUUACUGG